UAUACGAGGAUUCAACUACCAUCUCAUACAACAAGAAAGUACAUAUAUAUAAUACAGGAUAAUAACGCAAGUAGUAUUACAUAUCAUAUAUGUUUGCAUCUAAAAAUGGUUAGUAAUUUGCAUCCAAAGUUUCAUAGUUAUGUGGAUGCAGACUUCUGAUAUGUAAAAUGAAUUUAUUAAACGUUCUCUAAAAAUGGAAUUUAGAUCUUAAAUUUUUGUUCUCUUCAGCCGACUGAGAAAGAAGAGGAGGGUAAUUUCAGGGGGAUUGCUUGCCGAUACAUAGUUUUUGGGGUAAAUUCAGUUCGUCAUUUUUUCUCAUCGGCUUUGAAGAUUGUUAUUGGGUAUCGAUUAUGUGUUUAGCAUUUGAACUUUAAUUUCUUUCUUAGCCAAUCCUUAUUAGUUAUGCCUUGAUCCAAGCCUUCAAUGUAUGUUGUUGUGGGUUAUGUGUCGUUCCAAGUGAGGAUAGCAUUUCUCUUCUGCAUGUCCAUUAAUUACUAUUGAAGUAAGGUCAAACAUAAGUAUUAGAAUAUAUACAAGGUUUUGAAUGCCCUUGGUUUUGAUCAUAGCUUUGUGUGCAGUCUGUUAAUUGUAAUAGGAUUAAUUAGAAGCUAAAAGUAAGCAAUAAAUUGUGUACAAGGAGGCACAGGUAAGGAGGUUGUCACACAGUUUGUCCAAGCAAUCAAUAAUUUAGUCACCACAAAUCCUAAAAGUUCGUUUUGGAAUUUGAGAAAAUUUUAGCUUCUGCUUACUUUGAGUAGUUCCCUAGCUUCAGUGGAAAACAUUUUAUAAUUUCCAGUAGUAAUCAAUGAGAUAGUUCAGGGUGUAGCUAACAGAAAAGUAGCUGCUACUAAUAUGAAUUGUGCCAGUAAUCGGUCAGAUAGUGUAUUUACGUGCAUCCGUGCAUCAUCGAAAGUAAAGUAAGUUUGUUCUUUUCUCUGUUGUCAUUUCUGUAAAAUUUGUAACAGAUCCUGUAUUGUUUUUCUUCUUACCUUUUCUAUGUGGGAGAUGCAAAUUGUUGUUGGGUUCUCUUAUAUCUUCCUCCAAAUUGCAAGACACAAGAAUUUCCAGAUUUUAAUUAUGGUUAACAAGUCUGAUUUCAAGGAAAGUAUGGAGGUUAGUGCCCACAUUUGUUUCUUUGCUCCAAAUCCUACGAGUUUUACUCUCUCUAAUUUAGGCCCUUCGUUUCCCAAUUAUGGCUUACGUGAAUGCCUCGAAUCUGUUACAGAUGUGAUCAUGCUACUAAAUAUACCCAAUAGAACUGAAUCAUUUUGCUGAGUUUUACUCCGCUUUAUGUGGUUAAAUUUCUCUUUAUGUGGGUUAGCAACUCUUAUUGUCAUAUGGUAUCUAUUUUUCACUCUAUUGCCUUUAUCUUUUAUAUAGCAUGGAGGACAUCUAACCUUGAUGAAGGUGAAAAAAUGAAGCCAACAUCAAAAAAUGAAGAGCAUUAGAUAAGGAGGCUACCAUUUGAGAUUCAUGUUAAGGUGAGAAAACAACAGCCUUGGGUUAAUUUGUUCAAGGUAAAGGAAAACCAACUUAGGGGGUGGAUCUUCUUUCAUCCUACUUUUUCUCCUGCCUUUGAAAAUUUUACAGUUUAUGAAGCCACUACAGUUUCCGGCU